UACGUAGGGGGCGAGCGUUGUCCGGAUUUAUUGGGCGUAAAGUAGCGUGUAGGCGGCCAGGUAGGUCUGCUGUGAAAACUCGAGGCUCAACCUCGAGACGUCGGCGGAAACCAUCUGGCUAGAGUCCGGAAGAAGAGAGUGGAAUUCCUGGUGUAGCGGUGAAAUGCGCAGAUAUCAGGAAGAACACCCGUGGCGAAGGCGGCUCCUCUGGGACGGUACUGACGCUGAGACGCGAAAGCGUGGGGAGCGAACAGG
rnacentral:rRNA from 1 species